ensembl:lncRNA
CUGCAGUCCCUCAACACUGAUUCGGUGAUAGGCUGUUUCAGCUCAAGAUGUGGUCUCCUUAUCCAGUCAAUAACGUCACAAUCUGAACAAACUUAGGCAAUUUGCCUUUAUGAAAUAACUACCCCAGACAAAAACAACAGUCAUUCCGCAGAGCUGCCAACUUGUACUAGCCUGGGAUCCCAGAAUUAGUCAGAACACAGUUUAUUAAGCAUAAACUCUGAAGUCCAAUAUGCCUGUAGGUAGGUCUAGGAAUUAAAACAGCGCUAUAUUGUCCCAAUGCCACACUCCGGCGGAGGUAGCAAUCAGAGGAAGGGGGCAACAGGGAAUUCUACACAUUCUAUUUCUCUACCAAACAGGCACACACACCAUACCAGGGAAGACAUGUGGACUGUAAUCCCUUCUUAGUGGAAAACACACAUUUUCAAAAUGAAUCCCCGAUCUAGAACGAAUUACCGUAAUAGCCACAGCCGGAGCGANNNNNNNNNNNNNNNNNNCAGAUCUGGCCACCUGCUUUGAGACGCCUUGGACCACGACACUGCCGGGGUCUUUAAAGGCUGGCCUUUUAGGGUAGGGCAUCUGCCCUCCUAAAUUGCCUUAAGAUUCCAGGAAAAGAGAGAAGGUGCCUCUCAUAGUCUUUGAACUAUGCUGCUCUUCCUGUAUCCAUUUCCGCUGAACACAGCCUUAUCUUUUCAAAGAGAAAAAAAGAUAAAAACAAGAGGAGAAUUGCACCACUGCAGAUUCCAAGAGAAGUAAGCACAAAACUACAGCGACGUCAAAUAAUAUCUUCAGUAACUAGGAAAAUCCCCACAUGCUGUCUGGUGUCAGCCCAGUGCAGACUGGGGUGCGCUGUGCCCGGAAUCACAGGAAGCCGGGCAGCUCUGCAGCCUGUCUCCCUGCCAGCUCCCCCCACGCGCUGAAAUUCGCCAGGAAGAACUUAUGAUGCCCAGCUUCCGUAUGCAACACAGGCAGGCAGACCACGCACCCAACACUCCGAGACUCGGCCAAGGGGCCGCGACAUCAAGAAGGCAGGGCCAUCAGAAGGCACGGGAGGAACGGGGGGUUGAGCCCUCGGAUUUUGCUGCAUUGUCACGAACUAGGAAUGUAGGGGUAGGAGCAACUGCACCUCCAGCCAAAAAUGGACCGGACGCGUUUUUCCCGGCGGCGCCCUCCCCGCCCGUGUGCAGGUCUCAAUACGACUCUGCCUGCCCUUUAGGGAGGAGAACCAUCAGAGGAGAGCCAGUGCAGAUCCCAGAUCUGGCCUCUGUCUUCUCCAGUCACAACCCGCCUUGGCUGUUUGGUGGAAGAGGUCACCCUGCUGCAUAAAGUGUAAUUUUGAGAAGAAAUGCUGCUGCUCGCUGGUGCCUUGUUUGCCUAAAAAAUAUUUAACUCACAGAAAAAAAUAUCUGGGAACUCGCAAUGUGUUCCAGAAGAAUCUUUCAACAGAGCAAUGCAACUGCAAGGUUGUCAAGACAAAUGGAAACAGAUAAGAAUGAGUCAAUGUGGUAUUUAAGCAAGUUAGAAUUAGAAAGUGAGGAUGGAUUCAUAGUGGCUAUAUAUCUCUUCAAUUGAUUUAAUAAAUACAUCUGCAGAAUUUAUAAAAAAGGAUGUUUUAUCCAGCAGUCCUAUUGUUAACCUUAGGACUUUCCAAUCCCUAGCUUUCUGAUCAUAUAUUUUUUUCAAUUUGGGAAUUAGAACAG